rnacentral:rRNA from 1 species
CCCUUAGAUGUUCUGGGCUGCACGCGCGCUACACUGGUGCGCUCAACGAGUUUAUGACCUUGCCCGGAAGGGUUGGGUAAUCUUCUUAAAACGCAUCGUGAUGGGGAUAGAUUAUUGCGAUUAUUAAUCUUCAACGAGGAAUUCCUAGUAAGCGCGAGUCAUCAGCUCGUGCUGAUUACGUCCCUGCCCUUUGUACACACCGCCCGUCGCUCCUACCGAUUGAAUGGUUUAGUGAGGCCUUCGGAUCCGCGACUCGUUUUGUGGAGAAGUUGGACAAACUCAGUCAUUUAGAGGAAGUAAAAGUCGUAACA